rnacentral:rRNA from 1 species
CCUACGGGGGGCAGCAGUGGGGAAUAUUGCACAAUGGGGGAAACCCUGAUGCAGCGACGCCGCGUGAGUGAAGAAGUAAUUCGUUACGUAAAGCUCUAUCAGCAGGGAAGAAACACUGACCUUACGGUCAGCAGACGGUACCUGAGUAAGAAGCCCCGGCUAACUACGUGCCAGUAGCAGCGGUAAUACGUAGGGGGCAAGCGUUAUCCGGAUUUACUGGGUGUAAAGGGAGCGUAGACGGUGCGCCAAGUCUGGAGGGAAAUGCCGCAGCUUAACUGCGGAACUGCUUUGGAAACUGGCGAACUAGAGUGCGGGAGGGGUAAGCGGAAUGCCUAGUGUAGCGGUGAAAUGCGUAGAUAUUAGGAGGAACACCGGUGGCGAAGGCGGCUUACUGGACCGUAACUGACGUUGAGGCUCGAAAGCGUGGGGAGCAAACAGGAUUAGAUACCCUUGUAGUC